AUGCUGCCGGCGCUCUCCGACGGCCGCUGUGAGGAGCCCGCUGUGCUGCGGGGCAGUUUUAACGGCGGUGCCCCGAGAUGGACGGCUGGGCGAGUGGCCCCGACCGCAUCAGCCAGUCGGCGCGCCCCGGGCGCUGCGUCAGGGGCCCCUAGAAGUCAGAGGUCCCCGCACGUUCGCCCUCUGAGACGUCGUGACGUCUGUGCGCCUACUUCUGCGCAGUCACCUGACCUCCGGGGCCGAGACUUCGGACGGCCUCCGCGGGUGGGGCGUCCUGUUUGCCGAGGACCGGCCAGAGCAAGGGUGGAAGGAUUCCGCGGGAAUGGGGUCCGAAGCGCCGUCCCUGUUGGUGUUUUCGUCCGGCAGGCUGCGCGGCACACCCGCCCCCGACGUCCCCACAACCCCGAAAUCACACCGACACCCCCCCAUGUCACACCCCACACCCCCAACAUCCGCCGAAUCACACCCACACCCCACGUGUCCUCAUCCCCACACAUCCCCCCCCCAUAUCUCACCGCACAGCCUCCGCAUGUCACACGCCCAUCAAGCCCCCAAAUCAUACCCACACCCCUGUGCCCUCAUUCCCACACAGUCCCCCCAGCCACACCCCCAACAGCCCCCAAGUCACACCCAGCCUGCACGCACACCCCACGUGCCCUCAUCCCCAUGCAUCCCCCCACAUCACACCCCAUUGCUCCCCUGUCACAACCCACACCCCCAACACCCCCUCAAAUCACACCCAGCCUACGCCCACACCCCCCCCCUGCCCUCACCCCCACACAUUCCCCCCCACAUCACACCCCACAGACCCGCCCCACACACCCAACACCCCACCCCACCACUUACACCACACCCCCUCCACAUCACACUACCAGACGCCACAUCCCCCCACGCACAUCACACCCACACCACACACGCCACGCUAUAUACACCCCCACCUACACACAUACCUUAUUGCUGUCUUUGAAGGGUUUGUCUCCAAUGAGGAAUUUCUAUACAUUCUCAAGUGUUUAUUUCCCCAAGAAAGGUCAUUUAGCAAAGUUGAUGAGGUCAAGGCAGGUUAAGGGACAUUCUGCACUUGGAUAG
rnacentral:lncRNA from 1 species